rnacentral:pre_miRNA from 1 species
AUGAGAACCACCUGGUGAUUCUGUUAAAAUACAGAUUCUGAUUUAGUAGAUCUGGCAAGGGCCCCAAGAGUCUGUAUUUCUAAUAAGCUCCCAGGUGAUAACAAU